AACGAACGCUGGCGGCAUGCCUAACACAUGCAAGUCGAACGAGACCUUCGGGUCUAUUGGCGCACGGGUGCGUAACGCGUGGGAACCUGCCCUUAGGUUCGGAAUAACUCCCCGAAAGGGGUGCUAAUACCGGAUAAUGUCUUCGGACCAAAGAUUUAUCGCCUUUGGAUGGGCCCGCGUUGGAUUAGCUAGUUGGUAGGGUAAAAGCCCACCAAGGCGACGAUCCAUAGCUGGUCUGAGAGGAUGAUCAGCCACACUGGGACUGAGACACGGCCCAGACUCCUACGGGAGGCAGCAGUGGGGAAUAUUGGACAGUGGGCGGAAGCCUGAUGCAGCAAUGACGCGUGAGUGAUGAAGGCAUUAGGGUUGUAAAGCUCUUUUAACCGGGAUGAUAAUGACAGUACCGGGAGAAUAAGCUCCGGCUAACUCCGUG
rnacentral:rRNA from 1 species